GUAGGUGGCAAGCGUUGUCCGGAAUUAUUGGGCGUAAAGCGCGCGCAGGCGGUUCUUUAAGUCUGAUGUGAAAGCCCACGGGCUCAACCGUGGAGGGUCAUUGGAAACUGGAGAACUUGAGUACAGAAGAGGAAAGCGGAAUUCCACGUGUAGCGGUGAAAUGCGUAGAGAUGUGGAGGAACACCAGUGGCGAAGGCGGCGUUUCUGGUCUGUAACUGACGCUGAGGCGCGAAAGCGUGGGGAGCAAACAGGAUUAGAUACCCUGGUAGUCCACGCCGUAAACGAUGAGUGCUAAGUGUUAGGGGGGUUUCCGCCCCUUAGUGCUGCAGCUAACGCAUUAAGCACUCCGCCUGGGGAGUACGGCCGCAAGGCUG
rnacentral:rRNA from 1 species